GGCGCGCAAAUUACCCAAUCCCGACACGGGGAGGUAGUGACAAUAAAUACUGAUACAGGGCUCUUUUGGGUCUUGUAAUUGGAAUGAGUACAAUUUAAAUCCCUUAACGAGGAACAAUUGGAGGGCAAGUCUGGUGCCAGCAGCCGCGGUAAUUCCAGCUCCAAUAGCGUAUAUUAAAGUUGUUGUGGUUAAAAAGCUCGUAGUUGAACCUUGGGCCUGGCUGGCCGGUCCGCCUCACCGCGUGUACUGGUCCGGCCGGGCCUUUCCCUCUGUGGAACCCCAUGCCCUUCACUGGGUGUGGCGGGGAAACAGGACUUUUACUUUGAAAAAAUUAGAGUGCUCCAGGCAGGCCUAUGCUCGAAUACAUUAGCAUGGAAUAAUAGAAUAGGACGUGUGGUUCUAUUUUGUUGGUUUCUAGGACCGCCGUAAUGAUUAAUAGGGACAGUCGGGGGCAUCAGUAUUCAAUUGUCAGAGGUGAAAUUCUUGGAUUUAUUGAAGACUAACUACUGCGAAAGCAUUUGCCAAGGAUGUUUUCAUUAAUCAGGAACGAAAGUUAGGGGAUCGAAGACGAUCAGAUACCGUCGUAGUCUUAACCAUAAACUAUGCCGACUAGGGAUCGGACGAUGUUAUUUUUUGACUCGUUCGGCACCUUACGAGAAAUCAAAGUGCUUGGGCUCCAGGG
rnacentral:rRNA from 1 species